GUAGGUGGCAAGCGUUGUCCGGAAUUAUUGGGCGUAAAGCGCGCGCAGGUGGUUCUUUAAGUCUGAUGUGAAAGCCCCCGGCUCAACCGGGGAGGGUCAUUGGAAACUGGGGAACUUGAGUGCAGGAGAGGAAAAUGGAAUUCCACGUGUAGCGGUGAAAUGCGUAGAUAUGUGGAGGAACACCAGUGGCGAAGGCGACUUUCUGGCCUGUAACUGACACUGAGGCGCGAAAGCGUGGGGAGCAAACAGGGAUUAGAUACCCUGGUAGUCCACGCCGUAAACGAUGAGUGCUAAGUGUUGGGGGGGUUUCCCGCCCCUCAGUGCUGCAGCUAACGCAUUAAGCACUCCGCCUGGGGAUACGGUCGCAAGACUG
rnacentral:rRNA from 1 species